GGCUGGUCUAAAGUUAGUAAGUUAUGUCAAUUUAUUGCUCAAAGUCACUCACAGAUGAAAUUCCUUGUUCUACUCUUUCUCCUCUUUUCACUACUGCUCUUGACUAGGAGAA
rnacentral:Y_RNA from 1 species